GACGUAGGGGGCCAGCGUUGUUCGGAAUUACUGGGUGUAAAGGGUUCGUAGGCGGUGUGGCAAGUCGGGAGUGAAAUCUCUGGGCUCAACUCAGAGACUGCUUCCGAAACUGCUGUGCUGGAGUGUGGGAGAGGCGCGUGGAAUUGCAGGUGUAGCGGUGAAAUGCGUAGAUAUCUGCAGGAACACCGGUGGCGAAGGCGGCUCACUGGCUCGUAACUGACGCUCAUGCACGACAGCGUGGGGAUCAAAC
rnacentral:rRNA from 1 species